CAGCAGCCACGGUAACACGUAGGGGGCAAGCGUUGUCCGGAAUUAUUGGGCGUAAAGCGCGUGUAGGCGGCUCGAUAAGUCUGCUGUGAAAGUCCAGGGCUCAACCCUGGAAUGCCGGUGGAUACUGUCGAGCUAGAGUCCGGAAGAGGCGAGUGGAAUUCCUGGUGUAGCGGUGAAAUGCGCAGAUAUCAGGAGGAACACCAAUGGCGAAGGCAGCUCGCUGGGACGGUACUGACGCUGAGACGCGAAAGCGUGGGGAGCAAACAGGAUUAGAUACCCGAGUAGUCCCUGUCUCUUAUAC
rnacentral:rRNA from 1 species